rnacentral:rRNA from 1 species
GGCCAGACUCCUACGGGAGGCAGCAGUGGGGGAUAUUGCACAAUGGGGGGAACCCUGAUGCAGCGACGCCGCGUGGGUGAAGGAGCGUUUCGGCGCGUAAAGCCCUAUCGGCAGGGAAGAAGGAGGACGGUACCUGACUAAGAAGCCCCGGCUAACUACGUGCCAGCAGCCGCGGUAAUACGUAGGGGACAAGCGUUAUCCGGAUUUACUGGGGGUAAAGGGGGCGCAGACGGCAGCGCAAGCCAGGAGUGAAAGCCCGGGGCCCAACCCCGGGACUGCUCUGGAAACUGCGGCGCUGGAGUACGGGAGGGGCAGGCGGAAUUCCUGGUGUAGCGGUGAAAUGCGUAGAUAUCAGGAGGAACACCGGCGGCGAAGGCGGCCUGCUGGACCGUGACUGACGUUGAGGCUCGAGAGCGUGGGGAGCAAACAGGAUUAGAUACCCGCGUAC